rnacentral:piRNA from 1 species
UCGAAAUAACUCGUUUAAUGU